rnacentral:rRNA from 1 species
GGUUAAGCGACUAAGCGUACACGGUGGAUGCCCUGGCAGUCAGAGGCGAUGAAGGACGUGCUAAUCUGCGAUAAGCGUCGGUAAGGUGAUAUGAACCGUUAUAACCGGCGAUUUCCGAAUGGGGAAACCCAGUGUGAUUCGUCACACUAUCAUUAACUGAAUCCAUAGGUUAAUGAGGCGAACCGGGGGAACUGAAACAUCUAAGUACCCCGAGGAAAAGAAAUCAACCGAGAUUCCCCCAGUAGCGGCGAGCGAACGGGGAGGAGCCCAGAGCCUGAAUCAGUGUGUGUGUUAGUGGAAGCGUCUGGAAAGGCGCGCGAUACAGGGUGACAGCCCCGUACACAAAAAUGCACAUACUGUGAGCUCGAUGAGUAGGGCGGGACACGUGGUAUCCUGUCUGAAUAUGGGGGGACCAUCCUCCAAGGCUAAAUACUCCUGACUGACCGAUAGUGAACCAGUACCGUGAGGGAAAGGCGAAAAGAACCCCGGCGAGGGGAGUGAAAAAGAACCUGAAACCGUGUACGUACAAGCAGUGGGAGCCUCUUAAUGGGGUGACUGCGUACCUUUUGUAUAAUGGGUCAGCGACUUAUAUUCUGUAGCAAGGUUAACCGAAUAGGGGAGCCGAAGGGAAACCGAGUCUUAACUGGGCGUUAAGUUGCAGGGUAUAGACCCGAAACCCGGUGAUCUAGCCAUGGGCAGGUUGAAGGUUGGGUAACACUAACUGGAGGACCGAACCGACUAAUGUUGAAAAAUUAGCGGAUGACUUGUGGCUGGGGGUGAAAGGCCAAUCAAACCGGGAGAUAGCUGGUUCUCCCCGAAAGCUAUUUAGGUAGCGCCUCGUGAAUUCAUCUCCGGGGGUAGAGCACUGUUUCGGCAAGGGGGUCAUCCCGACUUACCAACCCGAUGCAAACUGCGAAUACCGGAGAAUGUUAUCACGGGAGACACACGGCGGGUGCUAACGUCCGUCGUGAAGAGGGAAACAACCCAGACCGCCAGCUAAGGUCCCAAAGUCAUGGUUAAGUGGGAAACGAUGUGGGAAGGCCCAGACAGCCAGGAUGUUGGCUUAGAAGCAGCCAUCAUUUAAAGAAAGCGUAAUAGCUCACUGGUCGAGUCGGCCUGCGCGGAAGAUGUAACGGGGCUAAACCAUGCACCGAAGCUGCGGCAGCGACGCUUAUGCGUUGUUGGGUAGGGGAGCGUUCUGUAAGCCUGCGAAGGUGUACUGUGAGGUAUGCUGGAGGUAUCAGAAGUGCGAAUGCUGACAUAAGUAACGAUAAAGCGGGUGAAAAGCCCGCUCGCCGGAAGACCAAGGGUUCCUGUCCAACGUUAAUCGGGGCAGGGUGAGUCGACCCCUAAGGCGAGGCCGAAAGGCGUAGUCGAUGGGAAACAGGUUAAUAUUCCUGUACUUGGUGUUACUGCGAAGGGGGGACGGAGAAGGCUAUGUUGGCCGGGCGACGGUUGUCCCGGUUUAAGCGUGUAGGCUGGUUUUCCAGGCAAAUCCGGAAAAUCAAGGCUGAGGCGUGAUGACGAGGCACUACGGUGCUGAAGCAACAAAUGCCCUGCUUCCAGGAAAAGCCUCUAAGCAUCAGGUAACAUCAAAUCGUACCCCAAACCGACACAGGUGGUCAGGUAGAGAAUACCAAGGCGCUUGAGAGAACUCGGGUGAAGGAACUAGGCAAAAUGGUGCCGUAACUUCGGGAGAAGGCACGCUGAUAUGUAGGUGAAGUCCCUCGCGGAUGGAGCUGAAAUCAGUCGAAGAUACCAGCUGGCUGCAACUGUUUAUUAAAAACACAGCACUGUGCAAACACGAAAGUGGACGUAUACGGUGUGACGCCUGCCCGGUGCCGGAAGGUUAAUUGAUGGGGUUAGCGGUAACGCGAAGCUCUUGAUCGAAGCCCCGGUAAACGGCGGCCGUAACUAUAACGGUCCUAAGGUAGCGAAAUUCCUUGUCGGGUAAGUUCCGACCUGCACGAAUGGCGUAAUGAUGGCCAGGCUGUCUCCACCCGAGACUCAGUGAAAUUGAACUCGCUGUGAAGAUGCAGUGUACCCGCGGCAAGACGGAAAGACCCCGUGAACCUUUACUAUAGCUUGACACUGAACAUUGAGCCUUGAUGUGUAGGAUAGGUGGGAGGCUUUGAAGUGUGGACGCCAGUCUGCAUGGAGCCGGCCUUGAAAUACCACCCUUUAAUGUUUGAUGUUCUAACGUUGGCCCCUGACCGGGGUUGCGGACAGUGUCUGGUGGGUAGUUUGACUGGGGCGGUCUCCUCCUAAAGAGUAACGGAGGAGCACGAAGGUUGGCUAAUCCUGGUCGGACAUCAGGAGGUUAGUGCAAUGGCAUAAGCCAGCUUGACUGCGAGCGUGACGGCGCGAGCAGGUGCGAAAGCAGGUCAUAGUGAUCCGGUGGUUCUGAAUGGAAGGGCCAUCGCUCAACGGAUAAAAGGUACUCCGGGGAUAACAGGCUGAUACCGCCCAAGAGUUCAUAUCGACGGCGGUGUUUGGCACCUCGAUGUCGGCUCAUCACAUCCUGGGGCUGAAGUAGGUCCCAAGGGUAUGGCUGUUCGCCAUUUAAAGUGGUACGCGAGCUGGGUUUAGAACGUCGUGAGACAGUUCGGUCCCUAUCUGCCGUGGGCGCUGGAGAACUGAGGGGGGCUGCUCCUAGUACGAGAGGACCGGAGUGGACGCAUCACUGGUGUUCGGGUUGUCAUGCCAAUGGCACUGCCCGGUAGCUAAAUGCGGAAGAGAUAAGUGCUGAAAGCAUCUAAGCACGAAACUUGCCCCGAGAUGAGUUCUCCCUGACUCCUUGAGAGUCCUGAAGGAACGUUGAAGACGACGACGUUGAUAGGCCGGGUGUGUAAGCGCAGCGAUGCGUUGAGCUAACCGGUACUAAUGAACCGUGAGGCUUAACCUU